AGUACGUAUGUGACGUUUUACUCGUUUAUAUAAAUAAAUGUUUUUUGCGGCUUGUUAGCAUUCAGCUGAGCCCUGAAACAGCUAAGCUAAGAUCUUUAAAAAUCUUUUUGUGUUUUUUCUAUGUUUUCUGAUAGCCCUAAAAAGGAAUUUUCACCCUCUGUUUCUGGCUUCGUCAAUUUCCUGUAACACUGUUCAUGUGACGGGAGAAAUACAAGGAAUACUUAGCGCGUUUUAAUGAUAGGCAGCAGUUUGGCUCUGCCCCUCGCAUUGCUGAUGUCUAGGAACGAAGGUACCCGCUCAUCACCAGGUGGGGCGUAUGCUCAUCUGCCUACAAGAACAAUAAAAAACGUGGCUUUUAUAACUUUAAUAUAGCAACAUUUAAUGGA